UACGGAGGGUGCGAGCGUUAAUCGGAAUAACUGGGCGUAAAGGGCGCGCAGGCGGGGAUUUAAGUGAGGUGUGAAAUCCCCGGGCUUAACCAGGGAAUUGCAUUUCAGACUGGGAGUCUAGAGUACGGUAGGGGGGGGUAGAAUUCCACGUGUAGCGGUGAAAUGCGUAGAGAUGUGGAGGAACACCGAAGGCGAAGGCAGUCCCUUGGGACUGUACUGACGCUCAUGCGCGAAAGCGUGGGGAGCAAACAGG
rnacentral:rRNA from 1 species